GACGAACGCUGGCGGCGUGCUUAACACAUGCAAGUCGAACGGAAAGACCCUGAGUUUGUGGGGUGCUCGAGUGGCGAACGGGUGAGUAACACGUGAGUAACCUGCCCUUGAAUUUGGGGUAACUUCAGGAAACUGGGGCUAAUACCGGAUAGGAUAUCCUGAUGCAUGGGGGGGGUUGGAAAGUUUCGGCUGUGUGGGAUGGAUUCGCGGCUUAUCAGCUGGUUGGUGGAGUAGGGGCUGACCAAGGCUUUGACGGGUAGCCGGCCUAAGAGGGUGACCGGCGACAUGGGGCCUGAGAUACGGACCAGUCGCGUAUGGGAGGCAGCGGUCGGGAAUAUUGCACAGUGGGCGGAAGCGUGAGGCAGCAACGUUGCGUGCGGGAUGACGGCCUUCGGGUUGUAAACAGCUUUCGCCUGAGACGAAGCGGUAUUGACGGUAAUGGGUAAAGAAGCACCGGCUAACUACGUG
rnacentral:rRNA from 1 species